AGCCCUGUAGCCAGAGUCUCUGUUUCCUUGUCCAUCAAAUGGGACUCAUAGGAUCCACCUCUGCAGAGAUUUCAAAAAGCCGCUUGUGAGGCUAGCACAGGCACUGUGCAAAUGCUUGUCACUGCUCCACUUUAGCAACGGAAACAGACUCAGGUGGUGAUGAUGCCUCGGGUCUCAGGACCACACUUGGAGAACCUCUGCUGUAAUUGAUUAGUGCUGUCUGCUGUGGCUUGCCAGGAGAGGGUUGUGACAAGCAGGAGGAGGCAGCCUGCCCAAGUUGCACAGCUGGUGAGUGGCUGUUAUGGUUGGGAUCUCAAAUGCCUCCCAAUGGCCACAUGUCACAGGCUUGGUUGUCAGCCUGUGGCACUAUGGGAAAGCUGUGAAUGAUCACUUCCCAACCUUUGCCUGAGAUGAUGGUGAUGGCGGCGAUGGUGAUGGCGGUGGCGAUGAUGGUGAUGGCCGGCGAUGGUGAUGGUGGCAGUGAUAAUGGCGGCGGUGGAAUCUUGAGGAGAAGAGCCUCAUGGAAGGAAGCCUGAUG